GUGCUCACUUAGGCAGCAUAUAUACUGAAAUUGGAACAAUAUGGAGAAGACUAGCAUGGCCCCUGCGCAAGGAUGACCCACAAAUUCGUGAAGUGUUCCAUAUUUAA